GUCCAGUAACUGCAUUUACUGCCCUGAUAUUGUGCACCAUACAUUAAACCACUGCUUUUGCCUUCUCUAUUUUCUUUUUCAUGGGAUACAAUGGGGUAUUACAUGUGGAGGUGUGAUGGGAUUCCAGCAUGGUCAAAAUUUAGUAGGCCAAAAUCUCCACAUGGCAUAUGCUAAUGUAUCUGGUCACAAAAGGUUGGACGAGUCAUCAGUAUACUGAGUAUGUGUGGAAGUGGAUAGUAAAAUCCUUUGUCUUCAACAAGCCAUGUGGUCUGCCAUAUAAGGUGAUCCUGAAUAUCCUGUGUGCUGAUUGGUCUGAGGAAUAUAGGAGGGGUUAUACUGUAUGGGAGGAGAUAUGCUGUUAACAAAAGUCUCAUGCACCAGGUAUUUGUCCCUCAGAAUUUUGGAACAGGAGUUCAUCUGAGACCCGAUCGGUAAUAUGAAUAAAGGCCUCUUACUUCCUGAAGACCUGUGUCCUUCUCUCUGUGUUUGGCUUCUGCAUGCUUACACGGUUACAUCUCUGGUGCAGUUGGCAGGGAAGCUCAUUGCACGGAAGCUGGUGCAGAGAUUUGAGACAGUAAACUUUUAUCAAAUCCUCUACGCUGCACCCCUGGACUUCUACUGCGUGGACCUCCUUUCGUCUCGGCGCCACUGGCCUUUUGUCCAGGAGAUCAUCGGCUUCUGUGUAGUGAGUACCGGGGUGUUCCGUCAAUGAGUGUGAACCCAGGUCCAGGAACUAAAAGGUAAGACUGAAACCGUUAGAGCGGUAAGCCCACAAGGGGUUUGUAUUACUGAUACCGAUAGAGCGGUAGGCCCACAAGGGGUUUGUAUUUGGAAUUGGUUUGGUUGUAUGGAAUAUGCCCUGUCCUUCGGGAUGGAAGAAGCGAAGGCGCACUGCUUAUGUUGACAUUAGACGCUCUGUAGUCAGCCCGUCUAAUACUGUGGUUUGGGUCAGACUGAAUUCUGGUGUAAAUAGUUCAUGUCGGACACCGGUGUCCUGUCUUGACUAGCGUAUCUAGGGUGUAAAUUUUGUUCGCUAGGUCCGGGGGACCGGCGAGACUAGCAGAAUUUUGGUGUACAUUCCGUCUGCUAGAUCUCACCCUAUCUUGGCUAAGUGGUAGGCGUGUAAAUUCAACCGCUAGACCUUUGAUAGCGUAAGAAGACUAGCUGGGUACUGUGUAAAUUCCGCCCACUAGUUUGCUAUAUGUAGUGCUUGGGCAGCGUAGACUUACCGAAUCCUUG